UACUGGCUCUCUAUAUCCAGCUGCUCAGAGGCGCUCUGACUCCAUUCACUUCAGAGUCCUACACAACCAAGGACCUGUGCCGACUGCUGCAAGACAGGCUCUGGAUUGCACAGCACGGACAGCUUUCUCCCUUGUGAUUUCCUCGGAGGAUCUGCUCGUUUGGAUUAUAUUCUUUUAGGACUAUUAAAUACUAUCAUAGAAAAAUAGCCGUGCGUCUUAAUCCUGUCUCAUUCGAACAGCUGCGUUUCUUGAUUUACAUAUCAGUAAAGUGGGCUGAAGUUUGAAGCCUAUUUGUUUAAGAGGGUGAAGGACAAGUGCAAUGCGCGUCAGACUUGUCUCUUGGGAUUGUUCCACUUGCGCCUAAGGAGCUAUGCCGAGCUGCCGCACAGAGCUUGUUCAAGAGGACGUAGUCCAAUGUGAAUAACGAGAGUCAACUUCCAGCCUCUUCAGCUUUUCACAGUCACAAGCAAGUGCAGCACCGAGUCUGACAGAGCCCGCUGAGCAGCUCUGACACCCCCUGUUUCUCUCCCCGAGGGGAUGGUUGUGGAUCCUGUGGGGCCAGGAGCGAUUCCGCGGCUCCUACAGAAUAGCAUCUUUUUCUUUUUCUUGGUUAAAUCUAAAUUAAAGGGAGAUGAGAGCCGCACUUUGUUACUUCCUGCUGUGGACGACGUACCUGCUGCUGGCCACCUCUGAGGAAGUGGAGUUUCCCCAGGAGCUGAUAGACAGACUGUCCCACAGUGAAAUCCACAGCAUCAGCGACCUCCAGCGGCUACUGGACAUUGACUCCGUAGGUACGGGAAACGAUGUUAUUGAGGAGCCCAAGCACCACAAGCACCACAACCACCAUAAGAACUACUCCCGUCAUCCUGGUUACUACAAUGACCUGAAGAGCUCCCAGCUCCACAGCCGACGCAAGAGGAGCAUCGAGGAGGCGGUCCCGGCGGUGUGUAAGACGCGGACGGUGAUCUACGAGAUCCCCAGGAGCCAGGUGGAUCCCACGUCUGCCAACUUCCUGAUAUGGCCGCCCUGUGUGGAGGUGAAGCGCUGCACGGGCUGCUGCAACACAAGCAACAUGCGCUGUCACCCUUCCCGCAAGCACCACCGCACCGUUAAGGUAGCAAAGGUGGAGUAUGUGAGGAGGAAACCCAAGCUGAAAGAGGUCUUUGUGCGGUUAGAAGACCACCUGGAGUGUGUGUGCACGUCACAGCAUCAUGUGGUGGAGCACUCAGACGCAGAAACAGGCCAUCGUAGGGCUAAAGGUAAAAAAAGGAAACCUAAAAAGCUAAGGCCCAGCAAGGAUUUAUUGGCAACAUAAUAAAGUUGCACUCAUUACCCAAAGUCCACUGGAGAGCUGUGAAGGGAACAGUGGACGUGAGGUGAGACCAAUCAGAACAAGGGACUUCAGCGUGGGAGGGACCUAAAUAGAGAAUCCCACCAACAGGAGACCUGCUCAGUCCUCUUCCCCACUGCCAUGCAACCUUCGUUAAAAAAAUCUAACUUUUCUGUAAAGACAACAGACUGAAACAAGAGACAAAAAUAAAUAAGAUGCCAAAGGUGCUUUUUCUUAAAAAACAGUAACCAGUGAUGAUGACUUCCUCUGUGGUACGCCACCUACCCAGACAACUGAACCCUGAAUAAGCAGGAAAGAGAAAGAUGCCGUAGAGCUCGGGCAGGGCAGAAAGAGGCCGAAGGGAGAUGAUGAAAGGGAUUUGUGUUGAACAUUUUGACAGAUUUUGUUUGAACAAGAUGUACAACAGAAACGGCUAUGGAACAGUUGGAUCAAGCUUUCGUGGGAAUCUGGUGCUCAGACUCCAAAACAGCGGUGGAUGACCUCCAGCUGGGAAACAUGAAAGCGCUGUGCCCUGUUUAAAUGACUCUUGCAAACACAGGAAGGAAGAAAGAAAGAUAUAGGAAAAACAAUGGAAAGAGAGAAAGAGAGAGACAAAUGGAGGUGUUUUUUUUACCCCCAUAAGACUCUCUAUGGAGUAUCAAACAUUUUGAGUUUUGGGAUGUUUGCUCUGAUAAAGAGGAAAUCUUCUGUGAGACCCUUGGUGGUCUGUGACUUUGCCCACUUGCUAUGUACAGUUAAAUUUGAGAAGGAAGAUGCGCCGCUACUUACAAACUAUUUAUACGUGUGGACGUUUGCUUUCUGUCUCUUCCAGUACAAAAGAAAGAACAAAAAAGAUGUUUUGAUUGUUUUGAUUUUGGAGAAAUGCAAGAGUUCUGUGUGGUCCGGUUCCUUGUAACCAUCAGUAUCACAAUCUCAAUGUCAUUUUUUUAGUCAAUGUUAUUCUUGUCAUCCAUGUUUCUUAUUAUAUUACAGUAUAUCUGAAUGAUGUCAAGUCUUGUAUAUGGUUUGGAUAUAUGUGUGCAAGGAGGAGAUGUGAGAGUCAGUACAGGAAGAUGCUUUAUUUUUGUUAUGAAAUAUAUUAAGCUUACUUAUAUCCAAGCAGGAAUUAUGUUUAUUUCUUUUGUUGUGGUUGAAUGUCUGUAUUUAAUCCUUUGGAAAAGAUGCAAAAAUGUGGGUAGGGGGUGGAAUAUACGAGAAAAAGGGAGAAAAGGCCACCAGUGCUUGUUAGCCCGUGUGCAUCAGAGCUGUGAAGAGGGGGAUACAGUGGCUCAAACAUGGCAAUUUCAUAGUAAAUACUGCAGCUUAUUCUACAGCAAUGAUAAGUACUGCCUAAUCAUUUCUUUGCCAUUCACACAAACAUGCAAACAUCACAUUAAAAUUUGUACAUGCCAGACACACAAGAAAUGUUAGAGCAACUCUGGUGCGCACGUAUAAGGCGGUAGUGUGUGUGCCCUCACACACGAUUUCUGUCCUACGUGAGGCUAUUUUUCACUCAUAUCAGUCUAACAUUGAUAAGAAAGAUGCCCGCCCGCUCUGCUUCACAAGCACACAUGUUGUACCUGCAAAGAGCAAAGUCCACUUUAAAGAGUGAAUGAGUGAGCAAAGCAAAUCGACAAGUGCAUGAAUGGGCUCCUUGUUUAGCCAGGCUUUACUCCUCUGUUGACAGGAGAACAAAUCUCUGAUCACUCCACCCUGUGAAGGUGCUCACACCUUAUGCAGCUACAUACUAGCAGGACAGAUGAUAAUGAGUGCUCUGAGGUGGCCUAAAAACAGUACAGUGCUGGCCUGAACCUGAACAAUUACUUCCUUACCAGUUCCUGUAACAGUGAUGAAUGUGUAACCAGGCCCAGACAGUUAAAAAACAAUGGUCGUCUUCCCUCCUUUCAUUCAAGAAGUUUUUCAGUCAAAGGCAAAAAAGUGAGUCACUGCACUGUGAAGUGAGUCAAAUAAAAGUCAAAUGAGGAAAAGUGUGACAUGGCUGUAUCAGCUACUGCUGAGUUGUGGACAUCACACGCACACACACCCACACAUACGCAUAUACCCACACGCACACACACACACACACACACACACACACACACACACACACACACACACACACACACACACACAGCUCACCUGUGAAUGAACCAACAAUCAGUUGACUGGUGCUAUAUUUAUAAACCUGAUGUUUCAUCACUGUUCACAUUCACAUUUACAUCAAUAAAGAUAGUGUUGUCAGUAAGCCAGGGACCACACUUGGAGCUAUUCGAUUAAAGAAAAUGCCAAUACGCUAUCACUAAGCCUUUAUUACUUUUCUUUUGGGCUUCCAUUGGAUAAAGACAGCAAUAAUCAUAAUUUAUAUAUUUAUGUUUUCAACAAUAAAUAUAUUUCUGCUUAUGAAAAUGUUCA